rnacentral:lncRNA from 1 species
AAAUAUUUAUCGUGAUAGAUACAAAAUAUUCUCAAAAUCAAGCCACGUCAAUACAAAAAAAUAACUAUCUUAUAUCGUAUUUCUCGUAAGUGCUUUUGUUACGUUUCGCCGGAUGCAGUACAAUUUAUUCAUAGCACUGCAUUUGAUGGAAAUCAGAUAGCAAUCUUACAGUUUAGCAUAAUGUCUUGUUACCAGUAUAUCUUUAUUUCACCAAUGGAAUAUGUCAGCUCUCAUCACAAUUAUAUGAGUAACAUUUCCAGCUGUAAGACUUGCCCAUGAAAGAAAUUAAAUCUAGAACCAUUUUGGGAAGAAGAAGACUAUGCAAGCCAUCAUUAGUACACUCUCGACUGUGCAGUUCUCAUGGAUCUCAUUUGGACUCAGCUUCCUGCCCUUGUAAGGCACAUAAACUAUGAGGCGUCCUAGAAACCACAAGAAAAUUUUAAGUCCUAUGAUCACCAUUACUGGUUAGGUGUCCGUUGUGGUACAAAGUUACAGGUUCUCUCAAGUAUACAGCAUAAUAAUUAACAAUUUUUUUUUUUUUUUUCAGAUGAAGUGUUUAAAAUAAUAAUUGUUUUUUUAAUUUAAUCUUUUUAGUUAUCAUCUUUCCAGGAGGAAAGCACUAAGGAGGUCUCAGAUUAUUCCUUGUUCAGCUGUGUAUAUAUCUAAUCUCUAUAUCUUCGGUUUCUGUUUGCAGAAAACUUUACCAUCCAAAACCAAAAGUAUUGUUCAGGUGCAUCCCUCCAGGGUAGACCUGUGAAAAAAAUCUCCAAGAUUACCAGCUUAAGAACUUUUUCN